CAGUCGCCGCGGGAAUACGUAGGGUGCAAGCGUUAAUCGGAAUUACUGGGCGUAAAGCGUGCGCAGGCGGUUUGUCAAGACAGAUGUGAAAUCCCCGGGCUCAACCUGGGAACUGCAUUUGUGACUGGCAAGCUAGAGUAUGGUAGAGGGGGGUGGAAUUCCGCGUGUAGCAGUGAAAUGCGUAGAUAUGCGGAGGAACACCGAUGGCGAAGGCAGCCCCCUGGGCCAAUACUGACGCUCAUGCACGAAAGCGUGGGGAGCAAACAGGAUUAGAUACCCCGGUAGUCCCUGUCUCUUAUAC
rnacentral:rRNA from 1 species